GACGAACGCUGGCGGCGUGCCUAAUACAUGCAAGUCGAACGCUUCUUUUUCCACCGGAGCUUGCUCCACCGGAAAAAGAGGAGUGGCGAACGGGUGAGUAACACGUGGGUAACCUGCCCAUCAGAAGGGGAUAACACUUGGAAACAGGUGCUAAUACCGUAUAACAAUCAAAACCGCAUGGUUUAGAUUUGAAAGGCGCUUUCGGGUGUCGCUGAUGGAUGGACCCGCGGUGCAUUAGCUAGUUGGUGAGGUAACGGCUCACCAAGGCCACGAUGCAUAGCCGACCUGAGAGGGUGGUCGGCCACAUUGGGACUGAGACACGGCCCAAACUCCGACGGGAGGCAGCAGUAGGGAAUCUUCGGCAAUGGACGAAAGUCUGACCGAGCAACGCCGCGUGAGUGAAGAAGGUUUUCGGAUCGUAAAACUCUGUUGUUAGAGAAGAACAAGGAUGAGAGUAACUGUUCAUCCCUUGACGGUAUCUAACCAGAAAGCCACGGCUAACUACGUGCCAGCCGCCGCAGUAA
rnacentral:rRNA from 1 species